AUAAAUUUUAAUGGCCGCGGUAUUUUGACCGUGCAAAGGUAGCAUAAUCAUUAGUCUAUUAAUUGUGGACUUGAAUGAAUGGUUGGACGAAAUAUUAACUGUCUUAUUUUUAAGAUUUGAAUUUAAAUUUUAAGUUAAAAUGCUUAAAUUUUUUUAUAGGACGAGAAGACCCUAUAGAUCUUUAUUAUAUUUUAUAUUAAUCUAUUUGGAUAGUUUAUUUUUAUUAAUAUUAAUUAUUUUUUGGUUGGGGUGACAUGGAGAUAAAAUUAACUCUUUAUUAUUUUAUUCAUUAAUUUUUGUAUAAUUGACCUUUUAUUAUUGUUAAAAGAUAUAGAUACCUUAGGGAUAACAGCGUAAUUCUUUUUGAGAGUUCAUAUUGACAAGAGAGAUUGCGACCUCGAUGUUGGAUUAAGAUUAUAGAUUGGUGUAGUAGCUAAUUUAUUAGGUCUGUUCGACCUUUAAAUUCUUACAUGAUCUGAGUUCAAA
rnacentral:rRNA from 1 species